AGAGACUCCAGGCGGCGGCAGCACACGAUACUCUACCUGAAUUCCCCUCAUGUUUGAAGGAUCUGAAAACAUACUUGAUACGGCUCUUCUUACUCCUGGUGUGCUGCAAGGAACUGUGUUGCCUGCUGUGGUUAUGAAUCAAAGUUCUGCUCCAAAUCAGGCCAUUUAAUACGCCUGGGAUGUGGGUACCACUGCAAUAGUCCCAAGAAACGCUCAUUUCAGUGUGGAAAAAAAUGCUGGACUUGUUGGCUGUCCCCAAUCCAGGUGAAGAGCUCUGCAGAAAUUACCUGAGGACUGAAUAUGGCACUUUUGCCAAAUUAUGAGGACUCGGCCAGGAGAUUGUGCCAUCCUGGGCGGAUGGAGGAAGGGGGAAGAGCACGAUGCCAUCCAUAGCCAUUACUUACUGGCAGGAGGAGGAGCUGGCCCUUCAUUACACUUAAAAUGGAGUUUGAUUCCUGGUAGUGGGUCAGUGGUGAUUAUACUGCUCAGAUAAAUGCAGGAAAGGAAGGACUGCCCAUCUGGGCUGACCAUGUGUGAGACACACAGCCCGACAGUGCAAAUGUUCAGGUAGGUGGAGCUGGUGGACUUCACCUGGCACUGGUGAGACUGGGUCAAACGUGAUGGGUGCUUCACAUGGUAAGAUGGGGGCUUAUUGUCCACAGGCUGGGUUCAGGGAAAAACUUUCGUGUGAGGAGAAACUGAAGAGUCUGGCCCAGCUAAUAAGUGGAAUAAUUAAUAAAGGAAAUAUAAUAGUGUAUCA
rnacentral:lncRNA from 1 species